UAGUCCACGCCGUAAACGAUGAGUGCUAGGUGUUGGGGGGUUCCACCCUCAGUGCUGAAGUUAACACAUUAAGCACUCCGCCUGGGGAGUACGACCGCAAGGUUGAAACUCAAAGGAAUUGACGGGGGCCCGCACAAGCAGUGGAGCAUGUGGUUUAAUUCGAAGCAACGCGAAGAACCUUACCAGGUCUUGACAUCCUCUGACAAUCCUGGAGACAGGACGUUCCCCUUCGGGGGACAGAGUGACAGGUGGUGCAUGGUUGUCGUCAGCUCGUGUCGUGAGAUGUUGGGUUAAGUCCCGCAACGAGCGCAACCCUUGAUCUUAGUUGCCAGCAUUCAGUUGGGCACUCUAAGGUGACUGCCGGUGACAAACCGGAGGAAGGUGGGGAUGACGUCAAAUCAUCAUGCCCCUUAUGACCUGGGCUACACACGUGCUACAAUGGACGGUACAAAGGGCAGCAACACCGCGAGGUGAAGCAAAUCCCAUAAAGCCGUUCUCAGUUCGGAUUGCAGGCUGCAACUCGCCUGCAUGAAGCCGGAAUUGCUAGUAAUCGCGGAUCAGCAUGCCGCGGUGAAUACGUUCCCGGGCCUUGUACACACCGCCCGUCACACCACGAGAGUUUGUAACACCCGAAGUCGGUGGGGUAAC
rnacentral:rRNA from 2 species